UAAUGGUAAAGAACUAGUGUU
rnacentral:piRNA from 1 species